rnacentral:rRNA from 1 species
GACGAACGCUGGCGGCGUGCUUAACACAUGCAAGUCGAGCGGAAAGGCCAUUUCGGUGGUACUCGAGCGGCGAACGGGUGAGUAACACGUGAGUAAUCUGCCCUGGACUUCGGGAUAGCCCACCGAACGGUGGAUUAAUACCGGAUAUGACACAGCCUCGCAUGGGGGUGUGUGGAAAGUUUUUUCGGUUCAUGAUGUGCUCGCGGCCUAUCAGCUUGUUGGUGGGGUAAUGGCCUACCAAGGCGACGACGGGUAGCCGGCCUGAGAGGGUGACCGGCCACACUGGGACUGAGACACGGCCCAGACUCCUACGGGAGGCAGCAGUGGGGAAUAUUGCACAAUGGGCGGAAGCCUGAUGCAGCGACGCCGCGUGAGGGAUGACGGCCUUCGGGUUGUAAACCUCUUUCAGUAGGGAAGAAGCGUAAGUGACGGUACCUGCAGAAGAAGCGCCGGCUAACUACGUGCCAGCAGCCGCAGUAAAAC